rnacentral:rRNA from 1 species
AUUGAACGCUGGCGGCAGGCCUUACACAUGCAAGUCGAACGGCAGCACAGUUGCUGGCUGCUGGUGGCGAGGGCCAGUCGGGUGAGGAAUAGGUCGGAACAGGUCCUUUAGUGUUGGAUAGCGCGGCGAAAGCCGGAUUAAUACCGCAUACGAUCUACGGCUGAAAGCGAAGGCCCGUCGGGCUUCGCGCUUUAGGGUUGGCCUAUGGCUGAUUAGGUAGUUGGUGGGGUAAAGGCCCACCAAGGCGACGAUCAGUAGCUGGUCUGAGAGGACGACCAGCCACACUGGGACUGAGACACGGCCCAGACUCCUACGGGAGGCAGCAGUGGGGAAUUUUGGACAAUGGGCGCAAGCCUGAUCCAGCCAUGCCGCGUGUGUGAAGAAGGCCUUCGGGUUGUAAAGCACUUUUGUCGGGAAAGAAAUGCAUCACCCUAAUACCGUACUGGGCUGACGGUACCGGAAGAAUAAGCACCGGCUAACUACGUG